rnacentral:rRNA from 1 species
AUUGCACGCUGGCGGCAGGCCUCACACAUGCAAGUCGAACGAGUGGCGGACGGGUUAGUAAUGUCUGGGAAACUUCCCGAUGGCGGGGGCUAACUACUGUAAACGGUCGCUAAUACCGCCUACCAUCUGAUGUGCCCAGAUGGGAUUAGCUAGUAGGUGGGGUAACGGCUCACCUAGGCGACGCUCCCUAGCUGGUCUGCGAGGAUGACCAGCAACACUGGAACUGAGACACGGUCCAGAAUCCUACGGGAGGAAGCAGUGGGGAAUAUUGCACAAUGGGAGCAAGCCUGAUGCAGCCAUGCCGCGUGUAUGAAGAAGGCCUUCGGGUUGUAAAGUACUGUCAGCGAGGAGGCGUUACUCGCAGAAGAAGCAUCGGCUAACUCCGUGCCAGCAGCCGCGGUAAUUC